CGGUUAACCUUUUACAAAACACAUUAAAAACCUAUUAUAUCUUCCAUUCGAUUACCGUUGUAAAAAAUGGCAGGUUAUAUAGUCACUGUUGUAGUGGGCAGUAGGUAGGUUAUAUAGUCACUGUUGUAGUGGGCAGUAGGUAGGUUAUAUAGUCACUGUUGUAGUGGGCAGUAGGUAGGUUAUAUAGUCACUGUUGUAGUGGGCAGUAGGUAGGUUAUAUAGUCACUGUUGUAGUGGGCAGUAGGUAGGUUAUAUAGUCACUGUUGUAGUGGGCGGUAGGUAGGUUAUAUAAUCACUGUUGUAGUGGGCAGUAGGUAGGUUAUAUAGUCACUGUUGUAGUGGGCAGUAGGUAGGUUAUAUAGUCACUGUUGUAGUAGG